rnacentral:siRNA from 1 species
ACAAAACUUGGGUUCACUCCUAA